CAGGUGAUUUCUAUUUUCUUUUCAACUUAAAAAGGUGUAUCAAUAUUCCAUCUUAAGACAAUAUGGUAGCCAUGAAGUCUAUGUAAGAAAGGCCUAAAGUCAUGACCCCCAUGACUUUCAGAUGAGACUACUCUGGAUGCAAAUGUGAACGGCUUCCUGUACUGCACUCUGCCAUUCCUCAUAACCUCUGGGCUGAUUAAAGUUCAAUUAGUUGGAACAUUUUAUUUCUCUCAUUCCCAAGAGUCUUUCUGGACUCCUCUAUAAGUGUGCUCUAAUUAGAAUUAAUAGAUGAGUUGCAAAUUUGUUUAUCCUGUCUUUGCAUUUAUUUUCUAUUUUCAGAGAUGAUUUUAGUCUUUUAGGUUUGAAACUUUUCCCCAGUAUGUAAAGGCCUUCUUCAAUCAACCUCUGGUGAACUGAGUGCUAAAGAGAAGCCUGUUUAUUCAAAUACUCUUUAUUCCUUCUUAGGAUAUUUUAUUUACAUUCUAAAAGCUUUUAGGAUGUAUUAAAGUUUCAUACUGAUGGAUUUAGUUGUGGAUCUUCGUUUCACUAAAUGUGCUGGGCAUUCACUGUACCCAUGCAAUCUGCUGCCUGUUGACCUUGGCAGCACUGAUAUUCCCUUUUGGACUCUUCCUCUAUUCUCUUAUAUGUGUAAAUGUUUCUAAAUAUUUAAAUCUUUACCUCAUUAUUUUGUUUUUUUGAGAUAAUAAUCUUCAACAUUAUUUUAAAGGUAUUCUAUUGAAUUAAAUUGAUUUGUUUUAUAUAUAUACAUACACACAUUGAUGUGUUUGUGUACUCGUAUAAAUAUAUAGAUGUCUGCCUACAAGGUUGUCAAUGAGUGGUUUGUAAGAUUGAUUUGGCCUAGUUUCACUGUGUUGUUGCUUAAUUCUCCUCUGUACCCUGAAUCUGCAUCAUUAUUUUGUUCUAAGCCUAUUUUCUCCUCAUUGUUUUUAACUCAUCUUUCUCUUUCCAGUUGCCAGCUCUCCUCGAAUGUGUUGGUCACCAUUCACAUUUAAUACAUAACGACUGUGCCCAAAUGCCACACUAAGAGACCUGACCAAACUAUAGCAUGACUUCUAGCAGCUUCGGGUCACGUCCUCAGGAUGACCCUAUCUGCCUUUCAAUGCCCAAUUGAGAAACC
rnacentral:lncRNA from 1 species